UCUAACUCGCGAUGCAUCUAGAUUAGAGUUUGAUCCUGGCUCAGGACGAACGCUGGCGGCGUGCCUAAUACAUGCAAGUCGAGCGAAUCUUUAGGAGCUUGCUCCUGAAGGUUAGCGGCGGACGGGUGAGUAACACGUGGGCAACCUGCCUGUAAGACUGGGAUAACUUCGGGAAACCGGAGCUAAUACCGGAUAAUUCUUUCCCUCUCAUGAGGGAAAGCUGAAAGACGGCGUAAGCUGUCACUUACAGAUGGGCCCGCGGCGCAUUAGCUAGUUGGUGAGGUAACGGCUCACCAAGGCGACGAUGCGUAGCCGACCUGAGAGGGUGAUCGGCCACACUGGGACUGAGACACGGCCCAUACUCCUACG
rnacentral:rRNA from 1 species